rnacentral:rRNA from 1 species
AUUGAACGCUGGCGGCAGGCCUAACACAUGCAAGUCGAGCGAGCGGCGGACGGGUGCGUAAUGUCUGGGAAACUGCCUGAUGGAGGGGGAUAAAUACUGGAAAAGGUAGCUAAUACCGCAUACCAUCAGAUGUGCCCAGAUGGGAUUAGCUAGUGGGUGGGGUAAUGGCUAAGCUAGGCGACGAUCCCUAGCUGGUCUGAGAGGAUGACCAGCCCCACUGGAACGUAGCCACGGUCCAUACUCCUACGGGAGGCAGCAGGGGUGAAUAUUGCACAAUGGGCGCAAGCCUGAUGCAGCAAUGCCGCGUGUGUGAAGAAGGCCUUCGGGUUGUAAAGCACUUUCAGCAGGGAGGCGUUACCCGCAGAAGAAGCACCGGCUAACUCCGUGCCAGCAGCCGCGGUAAUUC